AGCUUAUGAUGAUAAACCAAAGUAUAAAAGGAGUGAGCAGCUGACAACAGUUGGCACACGUGUGACUAGUAACUAAUCUUCUCGCUGACGGCA